rnacentral:rRNA from 1 species
CCUGGCUCAGGAUGAACGCUAGCGAUAGGCUUAACACAUGCAAGUCGAGGGGCAGCAUGGUCUUAGCUUGCUAAGACUGAUGGCGACCGGCGCACGGGUGCGUAACGCGUAUGCAACUUGCCUCACAGAGGGGGAUAACCCGUCGAAAGACGGACUAAUACCGCGUACACUUGGAGGGAGGCAUCUUCCACCAAGGAAAUGAAAUUCGCUGUGAGAUAGGCAUGCGUCCCAUUAGCUAGUUGGUGAGGUAACGGCUCACCAAGGCAACGAUGGGUAGGGGAACUGAGAGGUUGAACCCCCACACUGGGACUGAGACACGGCCCAGACUCCUACGG